CGAGUCAGCUGGGUAAUCGCCGCCGCUUGGUUUUUUAUCAAGAGGGGGAGGAAAGUCCGGGCUCCAUAGAGCAGAGUGCCAGGUAACCCCUGGGGGGCGCGAGCCUACGGAAAGUGCAGCAGAAAAUAAACCGCCUACGUUAUUAUUGCCUUGGUAGUAAUAGCCGGUAAGGGUGAAAUGGUGUGGUAAGAGCGCACCGCGCGGGUGGCAACACUUCGUGGCAUGGUAAACCCCGCUUGGAGCAAGACCAAAUAGAAAUCCAUUGGCGCUGCUCGCGCUGGAUUUGGGUAGGUUGCUUGAGGCUUGUAGUGAUGCAAGCCCUAGAUGAAUGAUUAUCUCAGACAGAACCCGGCUUACAGGCUGACUCGUUUA
rnacentral:RNase_P_RNA from 1 species